GUGUGGUGCAAACAUCAGCAUGGAUCUGCUUUCACUUUUGUUUAUUGCUACUGGAGGACGUAUUACCGUUAAAAUCAGGAAGCAGGGAUAUUGCUUUGCAAUUAGAACUGAUGCAAGAAGUGGACAAAGUUAGUACUGCUUUGAGUCUUGGUGACCCUGACGACACAUGCAAGUACAUAAUAUGCAUAGCUUCACACUGUACAUAUGGUUUUUGCCUCUCCCUCCUCUUCUGCCUCGAUUUUAAGUAUGCACCCUUUCCUUCCUGGUUCAUACAUAGGUCUCCUAAUUGAGCCCACCUAUGCUCUGUGCCGUGCAUUCCAGCACUCCUAAACACGCUCUGUACACACUCAUCUCAUACUUCUUAUGUAUUUUUUCACCCCAGGGAAGUUUGAAUGAUGAUCAGAAUGUCUGAAAUUAUCAGAUGAGGGAAAAAAAGAACACAUCCUGUGAGUAUCUCAGCUGGUGUGACUUUGUGAGUAAAGAAAGUCUGACUUGAACAAGUUCAGCGUUUGCCUGGAAGGACUGCUUAGAGUCACAGCAGCACUGUUCAUCAAGGGACUGCACCUCUCUCCAUGCAGAAGCUACUUCUCGGCAGAUUUUGUAUUGGAAAAGGCUUCCAUCAACCUUCCCAAGUGUCUCUCUCAGAUGGUUAAUAUGGUAUUAAAUCGCCUCAGUGAAAUGCAUACAAUCUCAGAAAUUCUAAACAAACACAUCACUGAGGAGAUGUAAAUCAUCAAUUCAAAGAACUCCUUAUUUGCUGAACAAACCAAGGAUGUUAUUUGCUUAGCUUUAUACUGACAAGCACUUGUCAGACUGUUUUUUGAGAGGUAUUCCUGCAGCUCAGUUGCUCUGAUGACUUGCCAGUUGCACAGUCUCCUCAAUGUCCAAGCUCUGCACUGCAUCUCUACUUCAGAAUUAAUUUUGGGGCGGAAAAAGACAACUCUGUAGCAAACUCCUUUCUAGGAUAGCUUUCAGUCACAGCAGGAACAGCACUUACAGUUUGAUCUCAUACACCCUGGCUUUGCUGGAGAAGCUCCUGGCAUGUUAUGUGAAGAGCUGGUUUCCGGAGAGCAUUGCCCUCGCACCCUGGAAGCCAACAGGAGAGGAACUAUGAUGUUAUAAAAAACAGUGCAGUUUAAGCAAAAUAAUUGAACAUUUGAUAUCUUUCUUUCUCUGAACUGUGUUUAUAACAGAACAAUUGACUCCCAACCUUUUCCAUGGGAGAUGAGUGUAAGACUACCCCAGCUGCCUGAAACCUCCACUCCCAGCGCAGGGAAUUAGAUUAAAAAUAUCAGCAUUCUUUAAAAAAAAAAAAAAAGACAAUGGAAAAAAACCCAAACCAAACCGAACAGGUGCAAAACUAGCGUUGGGAUGAUGUGAAGGGCACUUCUGUGAGAAGGCUCAUGUUGUGGGCUCAUGCUAGCACACCCUACAGUAAUGUAAACGGAAAAGUAACCUUUGCUUACAGCAGGAAGACUUCAGACUGCCAUUGGAUACCUCUGCAUUUCCCCAGGCACUACUCUCAGGGAGCAGGGGGCUGAAUUUUGUCAAAAUGACCUAUUUGUGAUGAAGAGCCAGAUGGCCUCAAAGCAGGUGUGAUUUAGUAAAACGUUGUGUGUUCCCUCCUCAACAGUCUUCGCAGGGUUUAGUUUGCUGUUUGCUUUCAAUCCUAAUGAGAAAAGCAGGAAUUGCACUGGUGGCUUUGGGGAGAGCCAAGGAUCUCUCUGGUGCCCCAUUUACCACUAAGCACUUGGGACCAUCAUCCUCAGCAACUGAGCCCUGCACCAUCCACAGCUCACAGCGCUUUCCCCAGCACCAGCAUCUUUGUAGGGGGCUCAUUCUCACAGGUGUUGCCUAGAAUUAGGUGGAAACAGGCAGCCUGAGCAGGGUGCCCUGUGCCGAAUUUAUAUGCAACAGAACUAACUCUCAUGGUCUAUGAAGUGCAAUCUGCCACUGAAGUAUGGAAAAACAUUCACUCCUCUGCAACUUCAAAGGCUGCGAUAAGGUCAGAGAUGUACGGAGCACAUGCUUUCUGUAGCCACGGACUACCGGGAGUGCUUCACCUCUCUCUGUAGACCUUCUGUCCCUGCUGGGUUGCCCCUCCACAUCACUGCCGAGGUGCAGGAUGCUUUGCUUAGGUGCGUGAACAUGACGGUUUUCUCCAUGUUGAGAUCCACAGCUUCUCUGUGCAAAAGUUGUGUUGCCAAUAGGUGGCAUACUUCUCCUGCCUCUGGGGACUGAAAAGGCUUGCUGCGUGUCUGAACUAGGUCUGAUCAAAUGCUGAUAGCUGUUCAGUUCAGCACACACACUAUCUUUCUCUGUUAGAGCUCUCUAUGCAGGAGGUAAUUAAUUAGUUCUCUGAUGUGUGACUUGGACACUUCCUGCUCUUCUGCGAACUUGACAGAGAGUGUGGAAUAAUGUCCUCAAAGUGCUGUAGGGAGUAACUAAAGUCCAUAUAGAAAUAUCCAGGUUAUAUAUCUCAUGGCACUUUUGUAAAUUAAACCUUUUGGCAUGAAGAACAGCACCCCACUUGCAAUAAAAUAAACAGUUUUUAAGAAACCCGUGUUAACCAAGGUCUCUGCUGGAACUUAGCCUUGAAUGUAUUGUUGUCUUCAGUAGAGCUGUACACAGAGCACACAGUUAAGCAUAUCUGUAAUUCCAGUCUUUGCACAUUCACUGAAACAAAGUCGUAAUUGCACAGACCUAUUGGCAGGAUAAAGAUUCCAAUUUUGACCUGAAGAGAAAACUGUGGUUUUAGUUGUUAGUUUCCACAGGGAAAAACAAAAACAAAAACCCAAACAGAUUGCUUAUUGUUUCAUUAUUCAGCAGUUUCUCAUCUUGUCUUUUCAGCAAUCUGUUUCUUUGGUCUGGAAUAAAUAAGCAGAGCGCUUUUCAGAAACAUACUAUUUUAUCUAACUUUGUUUCCAAUGCUGGGAGGUGAAUUUUAGCACUCACUUUGGCAUAGCCAGAAUUAAGCUAAUGCUGAGUAUAUUCCAAAACCCUGCUGAGGACCUGGUAACAUCACUGAGUUCUCAGGUAGCUACUUAGGCAACAGCAGUGCCCAACAGACAAUAUUCUCUGUUUUCUCCCAUGUAUGUCUGUCCUUGCACAACCGAUUUUCCUUCCAGAAGUCAAAGCAGACAGAUUGCCUAGUUGAUAACUAGAAAUGAAAUAAAAUGAGUUUCAUUUCCUUUGGGGAAAAAAAAAAAUUAAAAGCAAUACAUUACAUAGAAAUUCCAUUGGAAGCCUAUUCCAAAUUUCAGCUUCUCCACACAUUUUUAGUUCCACUGUUACUUUUUUGUUGAAUUUUAUGACCAGCUUGAUUAUGAAGUUUUCUCUUUGUGGGUGGUGAGAUAAAAUGACUUAAGUCCAUGUCAGUGGAAUUUCAGUUUGUUACCACAUGGUACAAUAACUUCGUGUUUUGUCCAAAGAACAGAAAAUUCAGUUCAAAGUUUCAUGAAUAAAUGCCCUGAAAGCUGAUAAAAACACAUCUUAUCAGUAAAACAGUGAAGGUUACUAGCCAGCAGCUUCCAAAUUUGUUAUUCUAAAACCAUGGCAACUACAGAUCUUUUUUAGAGUCUGUGUCUGUAGAUCUUAAAGAAGAAAAGGUCAUUCUUAAGCUUCCUUGAAAACAAUACCUUGCUUUUUGAGGCAAACGUAUUGACAAGCUGGUAUCUUUUUGUUCUCUUGAUUUUAUACUGAGUUCAAGUAGUCACAUUUUUAAUGGAGGCUCUUCUUCAGAACGUCUCCUAAUUCACAUCUAACUACUGCAUGAAAUCAGGUGCCCACCAAACUAGUUUGGUCUUGGAGGUCUGAUUCACCUUACAUGAGUCUAGAUUGACUCCGUGAGUUUGUCACUGUUAGACAAAAUGGGGCCUGCAGAAUCAAAAACUAUACUUAAUUUUGCGUUAAUGGGAAUAGCACUGAACAUUCUAAAUAUUCAUGCUGACUAGAAGCAAAAGCACCACUGAUAAUGAUGGAUCCUGUAUUUUCCACAUGCAGGAUUUUAACUGAAG
rnacentral:lncRNA from 1 species